GAUACGAAGUUUUUAGAUUGACUAAAGUUAUAUUCAUUUGCUAACGAUAGGCAUCAAUGACAAAACAAUAUAAUAUACAUCAAACAACGUCCAUAAAUGCUAUUUAACAUACCGAGUAAAUGAAAUAAUGACAAAAGCAAGCCUCUAACAAAACAAAUAAAGAAAAAGAAAGAGUCAAUUAAUACAAAUAAUGAGAAUAAAACACAAGUAUCGCCGCUGUUGCUUCAACAACGACGUACGAGUUGGAUGUAUUGUUCACAGUGUAGAGGAUCGAAUCUAGGGUCUAUAAAACA